GAUGUGGAGCAAAACUACAAAAAAGUAAGUCUCAGUUCGGAUUGAAGGCUGAAAUUCGCCUUCAUGAAGCCGGAAUUGCUAGUAAUGGCAGGUCAGCAUACUGCCGUGAAUACGUUCCCGGGCCUCGUACACACCGCCCGUCACACCAUGAGAGUUGGGAAUACCCGAAGCCUGUGAGCCGACCGAAAGGGGGCAGCAGUCGAAGGUAGAAUCAAUGAUUGGGGUGAAGUCGUAACAAGGUAAC
rnacentral:rRNA from 1 species